CUACGUGCCAGCAGCCGCGGUAAUACGGAAGGUCCAGGCGUUAUCCGGAUUUAUUGGGUUUAAAGGGAGCGUAGGCUGGAGAUUAAGUGUGUUGUGAAAUGUAGACGCUCAACGUCUGACUUGCAGCGCAUACUGGUUUCCUUGAGUACGCACAACGUUGGCGGAAUUCGUCGUGUAGCGGUGAAAUGCUUAGAUAUGACGAAGAACUCCGAUUGCGAAGGCAGCUGACGGGAGCGCAACUGACGCUGAAGCUCGAAGGUGCGGGUAUCGAACAGGAUUAGAUACCCUGGUAGUCCGCACAGUAAACGAUGGAUGCCCGCUGUUGGUACCUGGUAUCAGCGGCUAAGCGAAAGCAUUAAGUAUACCACCUGGGGAGUACGCCGGCAACGGUGAAACUCAAAGGAAUUGACGGGGGCCCGCACAAGCGGAGGAACAUGUGGUUUAAUUCGAUGAUACGCGAGGAACCUUACCCGGGCUUGAACUAACGGUGACGAAUCUAGAGAUAG
rnacentral:rRNA from 1 species